AGUACCUUAUGUGAUAUUCUUA
rnacentral:miRNA from 1 species